rnacentral:misc_RNA from 1 species
UGAACUUUCAGAUGAACCGAAUUGUUUCGUAUGUCCCGGUCCAAGGACUGUCAUAAGGACUGCUUUGGUAGCAAAAUGUCUAAAAAAAUAUUUUUUCUACAGCCUGUAAGCGACAGCUGAUGAAGUAUUUCUGUUCCCAGAUGUACAUCAUCCAAUUAUAGAUAUGAUUUAGUGAUCUCCAAACUUUCAAGAACCUACUGACCUUUUUGCUAGUUUACUGCUGAGACUAAAAGUAUACCACGGCCAAACAUACAAUCGCUUAUUCUCAUUGUAGUUAAUUAUACGAUAAGACACCUACUUCCGUAAACAAUGGCCUUAUACAAAUCGCAGUGAAACAAUAAGUCGCCUACACGCGUUUCGAAAUUGGGACAACAGCUUUUAACAUAUGAUCUUCACAAGUUUGUAAAUAUAAUCAAAAUACCCGUUAUGGCAAGCGCUUCGUUUCAGCUGCCUUGCGCAUCGCAGAGCUUAGGUACAGUCAACAGUUUGGUGUCUACGUUGGUCCAAACACUGCUAACAGCACAAUGUGCUAUUUCAGCAGAGCCGAAUUGGCCAAAGGAUUAUGGUGAUACGGCCAUAAAGGAAGGACUUGGAAAAUACGAUUUCAUUGUGGUAGGCGCCGGUACAGCAGGUUCGGUGGUGGCAAGUCGUUUGAGUGAAAAUCCCAAGUGGAAAGUGUUGGUGUUGGAAGCUGGCGACGACCCUCCACAAGAGUCAGAGAUACCUAGCUUGACUAGUACUGUACAGCAAAGCCCUUACACCUGGAGUUACUAUUCCGAACCGCUUGCGCACGUUUGUCAGGGGCUUAUCCACCGCCUCUGCUUUCAUCCACGCGGAAAGGCUAUAGGUGGUUCGGGCGCAAUCAACGGAAUGAUGUACGUGGAAGGACAUCGCAAGGAUUUCGACGAUUGGCUGGCCGCAGGCAACACAAAGUGGGGCUGGGCGGAUGUCAAGCGCUAUUAUGAGAAAGCGGUGCGCCCAGUGGGCAAUGCCACACAUCCAAAAGGAUAUGUAGUGCUGAACGAGAAUUACUCAGACCAAAAAUUGGUAAUAGGCAACGUGAUCUUCAAUGCCACCGCAGAGUUGGGCUUACCACGGUUGGGAAAGCUGGAGAAUGGCAUAGAAAUAGGUACAAUGUAUUUGCCAGUAACGGCGAGAGUUGGUAGACGGAUGUCCACGGGCAAAGUGCAUUUGGCGAAAGUGUCCGGGCGUCCCAAUUUGCACGUGAUAAAAAAUGCGCAUGUGCGCAAGAUACACUUCGAACGUGGCGGUAAGGUAGCCACCAAGGUAACGUUUCUGCUGCGUGGCGUGCAUGAGCUAAGCGCCGAAGUGCACAAAGAGGUAGUGCUUUCAGCUGGUGCUAUAGAUUCACCAAAGUUGUUGCUUUUAUCCGGUGUGGGCCCGCGCAAGCAUCUCAAAGAGUUGCGCAUUUCGGUGGUGCGCGACUUGGCGGUUGGCGCGAAUUUGUGCGAUCAUGUUAUCACUACGAUCUUUUUCAGAUUACCCAAUAACACCUUAGUUGAGCCCAGUCAUCAUAGUUUGCGCCCAACAGAUGCCAUCUAUGAUUAUCUAAUACAUAAUCGAGGCAAUUUGAGCGGCAUUCCCAGUGGUCUUACGUCUUUCCUAAAUACCAAAGGUGACAGCUCUGUUCCAGACAUAGAGUUCCAUUAUAAUCUCUAUCGAAGUGAAAAUAGGCAACUCUUCCUAGGUCACAUGGCCAGGCGUAAUGAAAAGAUAAUUGCAAGCAUAAAUCAGAAUUUCAAGGACUCGCAUUUGAUAAACUUUAUGUUGAUACUCGCCAAACCGCGUUCCGUUGGCAAAUUGCGACUACGCAGUGCCGAUUAUCUAGAUGCGCCACGCAUGUACUCCAAUUACCUUGAUGAUCCUGAAGAUAUAGCGACUAUGCUUCGCGGUAUCCGCUUUCUUGAAAGUCUGGAGCGCACGAAGACCAUGCGCGCACUUAAUGCAACUUUGCUUCAUAUACCGUGUGACGAAUGCGACAGCUAUAAGUACCGUUCGGACGCCUAUUGGCGCUGUUACAUCAAAUAUAUGGGAGAGGGAGGUUUUCACCACGUUGGCACUGUGAAAAUGGGUCCAAAGAGCGAUCGGGACGCAUGUGUCAACCCACGCCUACUAUUGCAUGGCGUACAGAAUUUACGUGUAGCGGAUGCCAGCAUUAUGCCGGAUGUACCACGGGGCAAUACGAAUGCGCCGGCGAUUAUGAUCGGCGAGCGCGCGGCAGUAUUUAUAAAGGAGGAUUGGAACGAGUGCACGGAGCUGGUGGAGCCGAAGUGAGAAUAACAAUAUAAAAAUAAAAUCCAAUAAAUAACUAACUUAAUUAUAUUUACUGGGCAAUGAAGUCUCAAACCGAGUGGAAGUUUGGGUUUAAAGAGGGGAAAAAUAAAUAAACAAGCUGAGCUAAAAUAGACUUGUGUGUUUACGUCUAUUUCUUCUGUGAAUAUGUGGUGUGUCCAUACAAUAAAACCUAGGAGACUAAAAGCGGUCAUUGGCC